CAUUCGUGCACUUACUCAUCUUAGCCUUACAAGGCCCUGCUAACUUCCUGGAGGCAGAGAAAUAAUGGAGUUGACUCCCUUCCGGGGCCUCCAGAGGGAUCUGUAAAUAAUACUUGCUCAAAAAAUGUUUUGGAGUUACCAACAAUUCAGAAAAGUUGAGCUUGUCUUGCUUGAGUCACAAUGUACUCAUUGUCCCUGUGAGGGACCCAGGAAAGAUGGGGACUAGGGCCCAGCUGGUGGCUCAGUCCCCCUACAGGGACCAUUUAGACCAGCUGAGGACAGAGUAAGAACUGCUGUGAGGAAGGCAUCUCAGAGGAGGAAGGAAGGCAUGUGUUGGUCUAAGGAACAUUGACCCCUUGCCAUCUUACCAUUCAGACGCUGGCAGGAGACUUUGGAUCUCAUCUAAGAUCCCUGGUACGUGAAGCUGGCCCCUGGAGGAAAUGCAUCAAUUUACAAAAGGCACCGAGAGCCUCUGGGAGGGAAGAAAAUAUCCAGCCACUUCCUGAGAUGUAAAGGGAAGGAGAUCUGUUGGCGCGGAGGGGGCUGGCCACAAUAAAGACCUUGGACCAAGGGCUUCUGAAAUGAAAUUUGAAAUUAUGUUGAGGAAAACAGGAGUCUGGGGUGGUGACAGUUUUCCGGCGAGGGCCCCCGUAUGUUUCCCGGGGCAAGGCUGACUUUAGCGCAGAGUAAGGUGGCUGUGUCAGUUCUAGAGACUCAGCCGCACCGACUGCCUGUGCUCUCGGCUGGGACUGUGGUGAUUUCUGCACAGGACUGUCACCUAGAAAUGAGUCCAAGUGGUGGCCCCAGGCGCCCCUUGACUUUGAGGAAUGGUGCUGUUUUCUGGUAGCCUCGGCUGGACUCUGAGGCGUCCAAGUGUCCUCAACAGUGACGUGGCAGUGCUAUGCAGACCCCAACCCCUAUUUUGUUUUUUAAACAAUUCAAGCAGAAGGUGAAGUUCUCUCAAGGGAGGAACUGGAUGUGGUAUGUAAAUUCUUACUUGAUUAAUAGAAAAAAUUACAAGUGGCCUUUGUGCUCUGUGCUCAGGGGACAGUUCAUACAGCUGCAUUCCCAGUGACCAGAGAAGCCCGUGCCUGCCCAUCACCAGCGCAUGUGUGGAGGGCCUCCAGCAGCUUUCAUUUAUCCUGCAAACAUCAUAGUCUCCACAGGAGAGAAGGUGGCUGGAUCACGGAUGUGGCAGGAGAGUGAGGAAUGGAAGGUGGGACCGCUGGUGAGAAAAGGGGCAGGGGACCUCAGAGGACAGGAGGAUUCAAAUGGAGGAGAGGAUCCUGGUGAAUUCAGCAGACUGAACUGCUUGAUUGAUUGGUUGCCUCUUCAGCAAAAAUUCCCUGGCUCCUAAUCUGUGCCAGGCAUGGAGGUGGGGGCUGGAGAACGUGGUGUGAAUGGACCGGCCUGGCCUGGCCUUGCCCAGCUCUCAGACUCAUGGGCCGGCUACACAAUACAGUGUGCUCAGAAUCCUGGGAGGGGUCUGCAGGCGCUGCACCAGCAUAAAUGCCCCGAGAAGCAGCCCAGGGGGCAGGAGACACCAGUCCUGAGGCUUCCCUGAGCCCAUCAGCGGCUGCCUUCAGUGUCUCCUUGCUCGCGGUUGCUGCCCGUUCAGUCACUGCCUGUGGGAGUGCCUGUGCUGUCUCCCCUGCCCCUCCCAACCUCUGGGCACCGAGUCUCGUGGCUGUCAGGGCUGAGGGUGGAGGAGCUGCUGGCACAGGCGCAGGGGAGCUGCCAAUGCCAUGGCCUCAGGGUGAGAGCUGACGUCUGUCCUGGAGCAUCUCUAUCCUUGCCAAGGGUUGAGAUCCCUGGGCUGCAUGCCUUCCCUCUGACACAGGAGCCGGCAUCCGUCCCUCACAGAGCCGGCCGCUGCCUGGACCCCAGCCUCACCCCAGAGAGGCCUGGCGACAGUUGCAGCGUUGUGGCGAGCACAAGGCCCCACUUGUGCCUCCCUCCAGAUCCCAGGCCAGGUGAAUGCCCACCUCAGGGAAGACCCGAUACAAGGGGCCCAAGAACCCCACGCUCCAAGUCUUGGCUUUGAAAACAAUGGGGAAGCCACCCCACUGGCCCAGACCUAGUGGUGGUGUCCUGGACCUGGUAAGAGUGGAGGCCUGACUCCAUCACAGCUCAUGGUGGGUGUCACAGCCUCCUUCCCUCCUCCCCUCAUGCACCCCACAAACAGUUAUUCAGUUACUGCCAUAUGCCAGCUUCUGAGCUGGGUCCUGGCUGCAGUGGUGAGUAAAACAGACACAGACCCUGUCCUCAUGUUGCUUUCACUCUUUUCACUGGAAUUUCCAGUAAGAAAUAUAUUUUCCAUCACUACCCAGGGUCUCUAUAUAUCUGAAAUAAUAGUUUCACAAAACAACACUCAUCCUUACCACCUGGGAGACACUGCUAUUUUAAAUUCUAAUAUUAUUUUUUAAAAAGCUGGUCAUGGCACAGUACACUGGGAUGUGACCUGCCUUUGAAAGCCCUGGUCUAAUUGGGGAAAGAUGAUUAAGCAAGUGUCACAGAAGUGUCCCUGCUCCAGUUUUGACCAAGGGACCAAAUACCAAGGGUUUCAGGAUUCCAAACCAUGUGUCUCUCACAUGCAGAUGGUUUACAAGGGAAAUGUGGACACUGAGGCCUGCAAUCACGUGAAGGAUAUAAAAAGGGGUACAAGAGAGCGGAGGGCUGAGGGAGCCUGUGAGCGGGUUUCUUUGGAGAGAACUGUGUAUGUUGUUUCUAGGACCUGUGGCCUUCCCUUGGGGGAGGGUUGUGUGUGUGGUGUGCCAUCUUCUAACCCAGGCCUGCUGAGGGGGCUUCCAGGGCCUUCUUGGAGAGCUUUGAGAUGUUGGAGGCUCAAGUGGAUGGGUCACAGGACUCCUGACUCCUGCCCUGGGACCUGGAGGGAGGGUGGCGGCUGCUGCUUGAGUGGUGGCUGUGGAGCACGCUCCUGCCAGGGCAUGGCUGUACCCAGAGUGGGUGGGGCAAGUGCUCUGAGUGCUUCCCGAGGACCAGAGGUGGCAGGAGGAGAGAGGGCAGGUGUGUGCCACCACGACAGGGCCACCUGGAGAGUCACAGGGCUUGGCAGGAAGUGACUAGGGGUGGAACCAUAGGUGCCCAUGGGCAAAGGAAGGGAUCACAGGGCCACCCGGAAGGAAGUUCAUCUCCUGGGCUGAGGAAACUGCAGGGAGAAGGCCCAGCAGGGAGUCUCCAAAAGCCCACAGAUAAGCAUCUGAGAGUCCCUGCUGGUCGCCUGCCUGGCGCGGGGAGGAGGAGCCACUCAGCCACCCCAUCUCCGCGUGUUCUUGGGACUGGACACUCUCAGGACGAGGCCGAGACCGUUUACAGUCUAGAGGGACUGUAGGCUGCUGUUUCACCCAGGACUGAGCUGAAAAGCCACAGGAGGAGCCCGGUUUUCAUCCAGGGCCAGGGAAGAUUACCUCCACUGAAUAAAGCUGUGAGGGCCGGGGAGAGACAAAAAUAAAGGUUGGAUUCGAUGACACUGGGCGUCAUGUUUGUUCACAUACCAGCUUUGCAGGUAUUUGCAAUGAGGAGCGUUAAGUGCUGUGACAAGGGAAGUACCAAGAGUGGGGACAAGUGACGGAGAAGGGGGUUGGGCGGUGGUCAGGGAGGGCUCCCAGAAGAGGUGACAUGAAGGCCUGAAGGCUGAGUGGAAAGAAGAAUAGUGUUCUGGGUGUCGAGAACAGCAGUUGGCAAGGCUGAGAGGAGGAAGAGCCUGGGACCUUUGAGGGGUUAGAGAGAUGUGGUUACAGAAGUUGGCAUGCUGGAGGCCCUGGGAGGGGUUUGCCUUGAUCCUGAGACAACAGGAAGCCAUUGAAAGGUUUUAUCCAGGAGGCAAUGAUCAUGGGUUAAAAUACUCAGGUAGCUGAGUAGUUUGGAAUGCAUGAGGUUAGAGGAAGGGAAGCCAGUGAGGAGCUGCUCUGGUGCUUUCCAUGAGGCAAGAUGCUGGCCUCAACCAAGGAAGCAGCAGCAAGAUGGAACCAGGUGGUGGGGCUUGAAAGAUGCUGAGAAGGUAGCAUCAACAGGGCGUGGACUGGGCACACGGGUGAAGGAAAGCCUGCGGUUGAAGAUGGCAUCUGUGGGGGUACCUUCACCAAUAGGUUUGAG
rnacentral:lncRNA from 1 species